CUCCUACGGGAGGCAGCAGUGGGGAAUAUUGCACAAUGGGGGAAACCCUGAUGCAGCGACACCGCGUGGAGGAAGAAGGUCUUCGGAUUGUAAACUCCUGUUGUUGAGGAAGAUAAUGACGGUACUCAACAAGGAAGUGACGGCUAACUACGUGCCAGCAGCCGCGGUAAAACGUAGGUCACAAGCGUUGUCCGGAAUUACUGGGUGUAAAGGGAGCGCAGGCGGGAAGACAAGUUGGAAGUGAAAUCUAUGGGCUCAACCCAUAAACUGCUUUCAAAACUGUUUUUCUUGAGUAGUGCAGAGGUAGGCGGAAUUCCCGGUGUAGCGGUGGAAUGCGUAGAUAUCGGGAGGAACACCAGUGGCGAAGGCGGCCUACUGGGCACCAACUGACGCUGAGGCUCGAAAGUGUGGGUAGCAAACAGGAUUAGAUACCCUGGUAGUCCACACCGUAAACGAUGAUUACUAGGUGUUGGAGGAUUGACCCCUUCAGUGCCGCAGUUAACACAAUAAGUAAUCCACCUGGGGAGUACGACCGCAAGGUUGAAACUCAAAGGAAUUGACGGGGGCCCGCACAAGCAGUGGAGUAUGUGGUUUAAUUCGACGCAACGCGAAGAACCUUACCAAGUCUUGACAUCCCUUGACGAACAUAGAAAUAUGUUUUCUCUUCGGAGCAAGGAGACAGGUGGUGCAUGGUUGUCGUCAGCUCGUGUCGUGAGAUGUUGGGUUAAGUCCCGCAACGAGCGCAACCCUUAUGGUCAGUUACUACGCAAGAGGACUCUGGCCAGACUGCCGUUGACAAAACGGAGGAAGGUGGGGAUGACGUCAAAUCAUCAUGCCCUUUAUGACUUGGGCUACACACGUACUACAAUGGCGUUAAACAAAGAGAAGCAAGACCGCGAGGUGGAGCAAAACUCAGAAACAACGUCCCAGUUCGGACUGCAGGCUGCAACUCGCCUGCACGAAGUCGGAAUUGCUAGUAAUCGUGGAUCAGCAUGCCACGGUGAAUACGUUCCCGGGCCUUGUACACACCGC
rnacentral:rRNA from 1 species